GGGAGGUGCCGGCUGCUGAGCCCCCCGCACAAAGGGAAGGGCCUGGUCCCCCCAUGCAAGGGGUUGGGAGGCCAUGUGGGGGUCAGGGGUGCUAGGUAAGGGGGGCCCCAUCUGGGUGCUGCUGCUCGCGGGUGUCGCUUGCGCGGGGAUCCCGGGCCCCGCUCCCCCCCGCGGGCCUCGGCCGGGGUGAAACUGACCAGCUGUUUCCCUCUGCCCUGGCCGAGCUCCCUCCCCACAAAGCCGGUCUCCAGGUGGCUGCUGAGGAGCGCAGCAAUGGGUGGCUUGCCCGGCUUCAAAAACACGCUUCUGCCUCAGAUGUUGUGCACUAGGUUUGUUGCACCUCCUCACCCUUUGCAAAUGCCUGGAUCUGGAAGGAGGUGGCCUGAGGAAUGGACACGGCCUGGACAGAUGCAGUGCGAGUUUCUCCCACACCGCAUCACCCUAUGCGUCUGUCCCCUUACCUGGAGAGAGCACCUGGACUAAGGAGAGAAUUCAGUCCAUUCACUCCUCUGUGUUGCUGGGACAGAUGCUGAGGCACGCUGCAGGACCAGGCUUUGUGGAAUGGGACUGAUGCCAUCAGUUUGCAGAAGCCAUCAAACAGUCACGAGAUGGUCUAGUCUUCACUGCCCCUCAAACUAUGCUACCCCAGAUGUGAUGGUCACCCUGGAUCCCCAGCCAGUUGCUGCCUGACCUAGUGUCCUUAAUGCCUCCACCGCAGCGAGCGGCUGUUCCUGAGCAUUUGAUCCCCGGCUGAAAUGCCCCACCGCAUCCGACACGCAGAUCUGGGCUCCAGACCAAGCAGCUGGCCACACAAUGAGGUUGUUCCUGGGGACUGGCAAGGGGCAGUCCUCGUCAAGCAGGAGGCACCAGGCUGGCUGAGUUGCAACAGGGUGGGAUCCUCUGCACAGGUAGGCAGAUCUGGGUUGAGGAGGCUGAUGCGGGCAGAUCACCGCCGCGUACCCGGGGGCUUCGGUUGAAGCUGUUUGUUCACACGCUGCUGACUACAUCCAGCUCAUCUGUCUGCGGCUUUGCCUCAGCCCCCACUGGAAUGGUUUGCGGAUCAGAGUCUGGGCUCGGGCUUUCUUUGCCUGCCGGCUGGGAAGCAAAGAGAAAGCUUUGCUCUGUCACUUGUGCUUCUCAUGUGCUUGGUGUCUCUGGGACCAGAGGGGUUCUGGUUCACCUCGUCCCUCCUUCCAGGCAGGUGCUGGGGUCUUCAGCUGAUGACCCCAUGCAAGGAGUCCCCUGCCCUGCUCAGGCCUGGUCCUGGGCCGGACCCAUCUUGAGCUGCAUCUUCAGCCCCUGGGUCCGUCUGUGCUGGUCCCUCGGCCUGUCUUGGAGGUCUUUGCAUUCCUGCGCUGUCCCUCCACCCUUCCUCUCCAUGCUCAUUCCUCCAUGCCUUUCUCGCAGCACCAGCAAUUCUUCCCCCACCUGGUUUGCCAGAGCCCCUGGCCAUGUGCUGAGCACUGGGAGAGUGCUGCCCACUAGUGCCAGCAGCAGGGAUUCCCAUGUAGCCCGGGGUUUGCUUAGAGGAGGGAUUUACUCCUCUAAGCACCCUGGGGUCUCAUGAGCUUUUGAGUGUGCCGUGCACUAUUAGCACGGUGAAGUGUGCAAACACAUGUGUGCGACUCCCAAGGUAAGCCCAGAGGCAGAGAAUAGGAACCCAGAGUGUCCCAGGCAUUCAGAGUUUUUUUGCAACAGCAAUAUUGCAAAUAUCUAUAUAUGUAUCUAGUAUAAAUAUUUAUAUUAUUAUUAUCUAUAUUCGUAUUUGGAAAUAUCUAUUAUUUCCCAUAGUCGAGAAGCCAGUGAAAGCAAUGCGCUGGGCUUGUUCGAGGGGUGCCUGGAGUCUAAAAAGUUUGGCACAGGACUGCAAAACCCCAGUGCGCCCUUUUGGGGACUCUAGUGUGAAAUCCCAGCCCUUUCUUCCCUCCUCCACAUAUGCGUAUCCCCAGGGGCUAAGCCUUGGGCACAAAUCCUGAAAGACUGUCAUUGCAGGGCAGCCAGCGGGUGCCUGCUGCGCGAGUCGCGGCAGUCCCUUUCCCAGAGGCGGCUGUGAUGGAGGCUGUCAAAGCCUGUUGUUAGUGAUUCAUGCUGGGGACACCUUACCUCUGUCUCCCAGCAUGACCAUUAAGGGGACAUAAAGCUGAGGUCCUGACCAUGACAGGCCCUUAUGGACCCCAGAGCAUUUUCCAUGUGCCUCAUAGCACAGCUGAGCCCCCUGGGAAUGUGCAGUUACCUCCUGCCCCCGUCACAUCCCCUGCCUGCCUCCAUGGCCGGGGGCCUUGGCACAGCCCUUUGGAGCUGGUGUGCGAUGCACUCGGAUGCUGCCAACCAGGUGCCACCUUUUAUUUGGCAGAGGCCAGUGCAAGCUCGAUCUGUCACCCCUGGGGCAGCGGGUGGGCCCUGAUUGUGUGCUGGAGUCUCUGCCUGGGCACCAGUGGUGCCCACCGGCCCAGCUGCCUCGCUGUCCAGCCUGGGAGCCCUGCUGGCACAUGGUCCACAUCUCCCUCCCUCCGGCUGAGGGGUGAAUGGGCCGGUCUCCUGCCCCUCAGCCCAGCCAGGAGUGCACACAGGGGUGCCCUGACACCCUGCGUCCCUUCUCCGAGUGCUCGGUGGGGGAAUAUGCUUGGUGUCCAUCACCCUUGGGUCAUGCAGGCCUGUUCCAGUGUGGGCAUCACAUGUGCCAGGGUAAAACUCCAGCUUAUGGCAGAGCCUGGGGCCGAGGGCAAGGUCUUAGUCUCCGUCCUGGACACAGGAGAAACCAGAGACUUGAUCCAGUCCUUUAACCAAUGUUCCCUCCAGGACAAGGGCCCUUUUCUCAGCGCCCACAGCUCUAGCCUAGACUUCAUCCCUGCUCAGCCCCCAGUGGCGUGCUCCGGGCAGCCGGAGGCAGGUGGUGUCUGCGGGGUGGAAGGGGGGGAUUUCUCCUUUGCCAUGUUUAAUUUGCCUUCAAGGGCCUGUUGGGUCUGCAGGACGGGUCAGAAGGACUGAGCCCAGCGUGCGGCUUAGCCCGUCUCGGGGGCACGGAGGUGAGGGAGACCCAGGGGCCGGGUGAGGGGGAAGCAGAGAUGGGGUGAUAUGGGGCAUGUGGUCCACUUCUGCUUCUCCCCGUCUGUGGAGGCCGGGGCGAUCCGGAGGCUCCUGUGAGACCUCGGCAAGGUGCAGCUGGCUCGGCCGCCCGAGGCUCUUCAGGGUGUGUGUGUGGCAGGGGCGGCCCGGAGCUGGUGCACGGCUCUGGGUGGUUUUAAUUACCCUGGAAAUAAAUCAGAGCCUGACUGUUGCUGUGGAAACAGCCAGGCUUGGCUUUGCAGCAUCCAGCAGCCGUUGGCUGCUCCAUUUCAUUAACCUUAGAGGAGGCGCGGGAGGCUCUCGGGGGGAGUGUGGGGCAUGUCGAUGCAGCCCCAGAGGACGGGGCAGCCGCUGGCCAGAGGCAGAUUCCAGCCCCAGCUCCAAGCCCCUCUGCUGGGCCAGGAGUUCAGCAAGCACCGGGCACAAGGCACGUGCGGGGCUCAGGGUCCGAUGCUCAUGGGGACAGGGUGGGAUGGGGCAAACAGGAGAGCCAGGGCUGAGCGCAGCCCUGGGGAGGAACCGGGGGCUCCGCUCCUCACAGCGGCAUGGGGCAGCUGGGCUGUGGGGUUGGUGCAAGCUGAGAGCCUGGCCUGGAGCCGUUGUGUGCAUCUGCACUCCCCCCUCCCAGGGCCAUGCAUGCGCCCGGCUCUCACAUGCAUGCCCUGAGCAUGCACGGAUCAGGGGCUGCAUGUGCGAGUGUGCAGCAGGUAGGAGAAAUCAGCCAUUUUGCCAGGGUAGCUGUGGUCACCGACAUGCUGAGCCCAGCCCCAGCUGCAGUCCCCAGAGCGGGGCUCUCUCAGCCCCGCUGAGCUGCACAGGUCAGGAUUGAGGCUCCGGGACCCCCUCUCUGUACCAGCCAUGCCACGCGGCAAGUGCCAAAUCUGCUUAGCUGCCUCCCCUCUUGGAGAGACAUGCUUCCCCGUGGCACAGACGUGCUAUUAAAUAUUUAAUCUCUGGGCUCAGGCCUUUCUUAUUCCGUUGGCAAUAAUCUUGCUGGGACAGAUGGUUCUCCGCUGGCCUAGAUAGCUGGCAGGAGCUCGCGGAGCUGGGGAGGGUAAGGCACGCUGGGCCGGCGGUUAACAGCCCAGCCCUCUGCAGCCAGGCUUUGCCGGCCCCUGCAGUGCUCCAGGAGCCAGGCGGCAGACCUGGGCUCUAUCCCAGCCUCCUCGUCGUGUGCGGUUUGCUGCUGCACGGGCUUUACUGGGAGCACUGGGGCUCCAGUGAUGGAACCGGUUGAUUGGCUGUGUUGGGUUUGGGCAAGGCCAGGCCGGGGCAUGCCUGGCCCCUGGGGGUGGUGGGGGACGUAAUGGUGUUAGUCCUCUUUUGCUGCUGGGCUAGCGAGGUGGAGGGGAGGAGAUCACUGGUCUCUGCUGCCUGCUGGGCCUGGCUUGUGCCUGGGCCGUGUUGGCAAGCAGGGCAAGCGUGUGGCUCAAGGCUGCGGGGACUCAUCCCUCGUGUCCUGGAGGGGAGCAGAGCACAGGUCGCCUGAGGAUGGCCACAGGCCCCACAACAGGACUCAGCUCCUGGUGCAUUGGAGCAGCAGGGAGGCUUUGCUGGCAUGUGCCCCCUCUCCAGCAGCCCUGAGUCCUGCUAGGAAGAGAUGUGGUGUCAGAUCCCCCAGCCACAUGUGGCUUGGCCCCUGGCCAUGUGGCACAAGGUUUCUGCUAGCCAUUGGGGCUCAGGAUGAGACCCCCUAACUCAUCCCACCUGCUUUCUUGGUUGAAUUUGACCCAGCUUAUUCCAAGGGGCUUGUACCCGGCCUUGCACCUCUCUGCCCUCUUAGGCGCUGUGUUUCAGGCACUCCCUGGGCCACCAAGGGUCUGAUUCACAUACAGAAAGCUUGGGCGUGGAGCCUGAGCAGCACACGGGCACUGGGGGCCCAGGCCAGGGCCGGGGCCAGGCAGCUGCAGAGUUAUUUUUUCCCCAAGCAGAGCAGCUGGAUAAACCAAGCACGGUGUAAAGCGAGCGCAGGGCGGGAGCAUCAUCUAGUGGCAGGGUGCGACCGCUGCACAGAUGGGCGCAGAAGGAAAGCGCGUGCAGGCCAUGCGCCAGGAAGUGGGAGAUGUGGCCCCUUCCCUUCCCUUCCCUUCCUUUAGGCUGGUGUCUAGCCCCGCACACGGGGAUCCAGGCCCUGGGAGGGGGGGUCAUAGCCAGCUCCGAGUUUUUGCUGCAUGACAGGGGUCUUGGAAGAGGUGGGUGGAAGUGGAGCUUGCCCCCAAGAGCUGGGACGUGCUCAGGCUCUGCUCCCUUUCUGGGCCUCCCAGCAGUGGGAGCAGUGGCACUGGGUUGCAGGGCCUCCUCCCUGCCUGCCCCCCUUGGCACACGCAUCCACAGGCCCAGAAACCACGUGUCCCCGCCUCCAACACGCCCCCUAUCUAUAUCUCCCAGGAACAACCCAGCAUGCCCCCACCACACCUACCCCAACUCAUAUGCAACAUGCCUCACCAAAUGUAGCCCAGAAACACCCAACCCCCCCACCACACCCCUGAUAUGCACCCCCACAACACGUUUAGCUCCCAGAAACACCCGCAACACAUCCCUGAUGUCUCCAGUGCAUCUCCCAAUGUAUAUCUCCCAGAAACACCCCCCACGACAGCCCUUCAACACACUCCUGCCACCAUCACCAACAUGUGACCC